rnacentral:rRNA from 1 species
GAUUCUGGCUCAGGAUGAACGCUAGCUACAGGCUUAACGCAUGCAAGUCGAGGGGUAGCAGGGUAGCAAUACCGCUGACGACCGGCGCGCGGGUGAGUAACACGUAUCCAACCUUCCCAUAACUCAGGGAUAGCCUUUCGAAAGAAAGAUUAAUACCUGAUAGUACUUUUUCAAGGCAUCUUGAGAAAGUUAAAGAUUUAUUGGUUAUGGAUGGGGAUGCGUUCCAUUAGAUAGUUGGUGAGGUAACGGCUCACCAAGUCUUCGAUGGAUAGGGGUUCUGAGAGGAAGGUCCCCCACAUUGGUACUGAGACACGGACCAAACUCCUACGGGAGGCAGCAGUGAGGAAUAUUGGUCAAUGGGCGAGAGCCUGAACCAGCCAAGUAGCGUGAAGGAUGAAGGUCCUAUGGAUUGUAAACUUCUUUUAUAGUAGAAUAAAGUGAUCCACGUGUGGAUUUUUGUAUGUAUACUAUGAAUAAGGAUCGGCUAACUCCGUGCCAGCAGCCGC